rnacentral:rRNA from 1 species
AGAGCGGAGGUAUCCGGGGAGACAGGUGGUGCAUGGCUGUCGUCAGCUCGUGUCGUGAGAUGUGGUUAAGUCCGCAACGAGCGCAACCCCUAUCUCAGUUGCCAUCAUUAAGUUGGGCACUCUGUGGAGACUGCCGGUGUCAAACCGGAGGAAGGUGGGGAUGACGUCAAGUCCUCAUGGCCCUUAUGACCAGGGCUACACACGUGCUACAAUGGCCGGUACAAAGAGUUGCGAUACCGCGAGGUGGAGCUAAUCUCAUAAAGCCGGUCUCAGUUCGGAUUGGAGUCUGCAACUCGACUCCAUGAAGUUGGAAUCGCUAGUAAUCGCGGAUCAGCACGCCGCGGUGAAUACGUUCCCGGGCCUU